GCACACGUAAUAACAGGCGAAGACAGCGCCUGCGUGGUAAAGCAGGUGUUCAGAGUACAGUGGUUAUAGCUGAGGGAGGGAGGGAGUGCAGAAGGGUCGCGUGUUCAGCCAGAGUGCCUGGAGCUUCCGUGCCGUUCAGUGUGCCAAGGAGACGACGCCUCCUGCCCGAGAGCAAACCCUCCAGUCAGGAAGCCAGUCAAGCCGAUCGUCGAAAGGAACAGCCGACAUGAGAACCUUUUGCCAGUCCGUCCUCAUAUUUUGUGCGGGUGCUGCGGCUUCCAACCUGCUGCCUGAAGACUACCAAAACACUCAGGAGCCCACACCAGCAGACGGAGGCCCCAUCGUGGUCGAGAUCAGCUGGAACAUCAAGGGAAUCUAUGAGGUCGACUUCCGGGAAAUG